rnacentral:lncRNA from 1 species
AUUGAGAACCUCUCACAGCACUGGAGCCAUUCGCCUCUCCCCAUGGCCUCUCCCUGGUGCUUCCUUUCAUGCGAAGCAGCUGUUAUUUCCAUUUCACACUGAGACCCAGGGAAGCUGAUUGCCCCGGCUCUAGUGGUCAGGAUUGCCAACCUUGAGCACCCCCGCCCAGAAGUUCUGGACGACGCUGUGAGUGGGAUCUGUGUGAGGAGCUGGUGCCCUCGAGGCAGCUUCUGGGACAAACCUGGUGGCUGAGCACAUCCACAUCUGAUUGUUGUCAGGAACCGCCAUUAAACUUCUGUGUCUGCUGCUGACCUGGGCCUCAUGCCUGGGGCCUCAGCCAGCAGAGCCUCUGCCCAAGCAGCUUCUGCUGAGACCCAGCCAGACAAAUGAGGGGGGACAAGCAUGGAACG